GCUUCCAAGCAAACAACAACAAACAGCCCUAAGCUAGUGUAUAGCAAAACCACACAAAGAGCUAACAAGCAUAAACAAGAUAAACGGUAAAAGGAAAGAACAAAACACCGAGCAAGAUUGUUGACCCAGUUCAGCCAAUAUGGCCUAAUCUGGGGGAGAGAGCAGCUCUCCAAUCCAAUAUGUGAAGUGUUACAAAAGGUUACAAGACUCUAGCUUAUCAAGCUUUACACAUGAACAAACCCUAGAACUACCCUUUGGUAUUUUCCCACUCUCACACUAUGAACCCAAAAUCCCAAGGUGAUUACAAUGUUUUUCCCAACCUAAGAAACUCUCUCAUCAAAGGCACACACCCCAUAGGAUCCCCUCUUUGAUCUCCAAGAUUUCUCUCUUAAGCUCUCUUAAGGUUGUCUUCAAAAAAGCACAAGAACACAAUAUAUACUAGUCCUGCCCUGAAGAAAUCGUGCCACGAUUUCCCUAGAUCGUGUCACGAUCUGCAACGGUCCCCAGGUUGACCAGUCCUUAUCAGUGAUACUUAACGAG
rnacentral:lncRNA from 1 species